AUUGGUUUGGUGGUGGCUGCUCUUUAAGAUUUAAGAGAGGAAAGUCCGAGCUACAUAAGACAAGGAUUCCAUUUAACGAAUGGCUAGGGCGACCUAAGGGAAAGUGCAACAGAAAAUAACCGCUCAUUUGUGCUUAUUUUUUGCAAAAAUGUUUUUGCAAGCAUUAAAAAGCACCGCUAAAAGAAGGAUAAGCACAAAUGAGUAAGGGUGAAAAGGUGGGGUAAGAGCCUACCGACUGCUAGGCAACUAGCAGUGCCGUGCAAACCCAAUCCGUAGCAAAAAGGGCGUGGUAAAUGUCUUAGAUUUUGCCCUUUGCUUGAGGUGUGUUGUGAAAUGCACCCUAGAUAAAUAGCCACCCUCGACAGAACUCGGCUUAUACCAAGCCAAUGGAU
rfam:Helicobacter macacae MIT 99-5501 genomic scaffold addTE-supercont1.1, whole genome shotgun sequence.